GAUGAACGCUGACGGCGUGCCUAAUACAUGCAAGUCGAGCGAACGGACGAGAAGCUUGCUUCUCUGAUGUUAGCGGCGGACGGGUGAGUAACACGUGGAUAACCUACCUAUAAGACUGGGAUAACUUCGGGAAACCGGAGCUAAUACCGGAUAAUAUUUUGAACCGCAUGAUUCAAAAGUGAAAGACGGUCUUGCUGUCACUUAUAGAUGGAUCCGCGCUGCAUUAGCUAGUUGGUAAGGUAACGGCUUACCAAGGCAACGAUGCAUAGCCGACCUGAGAGGGUGAUCGGCCACACUGGAACUGAGACACGGUCCAGACUCCUACGGGAGGCAGCAGUAGGGAAUCUUCCGCAAUGGGCGAAAGCCUGACGGAGCAACGCCGCGUGAGUGAUGAAGGUCUUCGGAUCGUAAAACUCUGUUAUUAGGGAAGAACAUAUGUGUAAGUAACUGUGCACAUCUUGACGGUACCUAAUCAGAAAGCCACGGCUAACUACGUG
rnacentral:rRNA from 1 species